AUCCUGGCUCAGAACGAACGCUGGCGGCGUGGAUAAGACAUGCAAGUCGAACGAGAGAAUUGCUAGCUUGCUAAUAAUUCUCUAGUGGCGCACGGGUGAGUAACACGUGAGUAACCUGCCCCCGAGAGCGGGAUAGCCCUGGGAAACUGGGAUUAAUACCGCAUAGUAUCGAAAGAUUAAAGCAGCAAUGCGCUUGGGGAUGGGCUCGCGGCCUAUUAGUUAGUUGGUGAGGUAACGGCUCACCAAGGCGAUGACGGGUAGCCGGUCUGAGAGGAUGUCCGGCCACACUGGAACUGAGACACGGUCCAGACACCUACGGGUGGCAGCAGUCGAGAAUCAUUCACAAUGGGGGAAACCCUGAUGGUGCGACGCCGCGUGGGGGAAUGAAGGUCUUCGGAUUGUAAACCCCUGUCAUGUGGGAGCAAAUUAAAAAGAUAGUACCACAAGAGGAAGAGACGGCUAACUCUGUGCCAGCAGCCGCGGUAAUACAGAGGUCUCAAGCGUUGUUCGGAAUCACUGGGCGUAAAGCGUGCGUAGGCUGUUUCGUAAGUCGUGUGUGAAAGGCGCGGGCUCAACCCGCGGACGGCACAUGAUACUGCGAGACUAGAGUAAUGGAGGGGGAACCGGAAUUCUCGGUGUAGCAGUGAAAUGCGUAGAUAUCGAGAGGAACACUCGUGGCGAAGGCGGGUUCCUGGACAUUAACUGACGCUGAGGCACGAAGGCCAGGGGAGCGAAAGGGAUUAGAUACCCCUGUAGUCCUGGCAGUAAACGGUGCACGCUUGGUGUGCGGGGAAUCGACCCCCUGCGUGCCGGAGCUAACGCGUUAAGCGUGCCGCCUGGGGAGUACGGUCGCAAGAUUAAAACUCAAAGAAAUUGACGGGGACCCGCACAAGCGGUGGAGUAUGUGGCUUAAUUCGAUGCAACGCGAAGAACCUUACCUGGGCUUGACAUGUAAUGAACAACAUGUGAAAGCAUGCGACUCUUCGGAGGCGUUACACAGGUGCUGCAUGGCCGUCGUCAGCUCGUGUCGUGAGAUGUUUGGUUAAGUCCAGCAACGAGCGCAACCCCUGUUGCCAGUUACCAGCACGUGAAGGUGGGGACUCUGGCGAGACUGCCCAGAUCAACUGGGAGGAAGGUGGGGACGACGUCAGGUCAGUAUGGCCCUUAUGCCCAGGGCUGCACACGUACUACAAUGCCCAGUACAGAGGGGGCCGAAGCCGCGAGGCGGAGGAAAUCCUAAAAACUGGGCCCAGUUCGGACUGUAGGCUGCAACCCGCCUACACGAAGCCGGAAUCGCUAGUAAUGGCGCAUCAGCUACGGCGCCGUGAAUACGUUCCCGGGUCUUGCACUCACCGCCCGUCA
rnacentral:rRNA from 1 species